rnacentral:rRNA from 1 species
UGGGGGAUAUUGCACAAUGGGCGAAAGCCUGAUGCAGCGACGCCGCGUGGGGGAUGAAGGCCUUCGGGUUGUAAACUUCCUUUGCUCUGAACAAGGCAUGCCUUUGGGGUGUGUUGAGUGUAGGGGUUGAUUAGCGCCGGCUAACUACGUGCCAGCAGCCGCGGUAAUACGUAGGGCGCGAGCGUUGUCCGGAAUUAUUGGGCGUAAAGGGCUUGUAGGUGGCUGGUUGCGUCUGGCGUGAAAGCUCAUGGCUUAACUGUGGGUUUGCGGUGGGUACGGGCUGGCUUGAGUGCAGUAGGGGAGGCUGGAAUUCCUGGUGUAGCGGUGGAAGGCGCAGAUAUCAGGAGGAAUACCGGUGGCGAAGGCGGGUCUCUGGGCUGUUACUGACGCUGAGGAGCGAAAGCGUGGGGAGCGAACAGG